rnacentral:rRNA from 1 species
GAUUAAGUUAUUAAGGGCGCACGGUGGAUGCCUUGGCACUAGAAGCCGAUGAAGGACGUUACUAACGACGAUAUGCUUUGGGGAGCUGUAAGUAAGCUUUGAUCCAGAGAUUUCCGAAUGGGGAAACCCAGCAUGAGUUAUGUCAUGUUAUCGAUAUGUGAAUACAUAGCAUAUCAGAAGGCACACCCGGAGAACUGAAACAUCUUAGUACCCGGAGGAAGAGAAAGAAAAUUCGAUUCCCUUAGUAGCGGCGAGCGAAACGGGAAGAGCCCAAACCAACAAGCUUGCUUGUUGGGGUUGUAGGACACUCUAUACGGAGUUACAAAGGACGACAUUAGACGAAUCAUCUGGAAAGAUGAAUCAAAGAAGGUAAUAAUCCUGUAGUCGAAAAUGUUGUCUCUCUUGAGUGGAUCCUGAGUACGACGGAGCACGUGAAAUUCCGUCGGAAUCUGGGAGGACCAUCUCCUAAGGCUAAAUACUCUCUAGUGACCGAUAGUGAACCAGUACCGUGAGGGAAAGGUGAAAAGCACCCCGGAAGGGGAGUGAAAUAGAACCUGAAACCGUGUGCUUACAAGUAGUCAGAGCCCGUUAAUGGGUGAUGGCGUGCCUUUUGUAGAAUGAACCGGCGAGUUACGAUUUGAUGCAAGGUUAAGCAGUAAAUGUGGAGCCGUAGCGAAAGCGAGUCUGAAUAGGGCGUUUAGUAUUUGGUCGUAGACCCGAAACCAGGUGAUCUACCCUUGGUCAGGUUGAAGUUCAGGUAACACUGAAUGGAGGACCGAACCGACUUACGUUGAAAAGUGAGCGGAUGAACUGAGGGUAGCGGAGAAAUUCCAAUCGAACCUGGAGAUAGCUG